UACGUAGGGGCUAGCGUUAUCCGGAAUUACUGGGCGUAAAGGGUGCGUAGGUGGUUUCUUAAGUCAGAGGUGAAAGGCUACGGCUCAACCGUAGUAAGCCUUUGAAACUGGGAAACUUGAGUGCAGGAGAGGAGAGUGGAAUUCCUAGUGUAGCGGUGGAAUGCGUAGAUAUUAGAAGGAACACCAGUGGCGAAGGCGACUUUCUGGACUGUAACUGACGCUGAGGCACGAAAGCGUGGGUAGCGAACAGGAUUAGAUACCCUGGUAGUCCCUGAGCGGG
rnacentral:rRNA from 1 species